CAGGGCAGGGCAGUUACCAAAAUGUUCAACACUGCUGCAACUGUCUACAGUCACAGGCAGGAAUAUCGCUCUCUUUCUUCAGACAAUUGCAAAGCUAUUGGAGUAAUUUAGUCUUCAUCCCCACUUGACUCAUUUUGUCUUCUGGGUAGCUUAGGAAACCUGAUUGGUGUUAUCAAGCCAUUUUGAUAAUAACCGAGAGGAUGCAGCCUACAGACUGUGAACAUCAGAUGGGGUUAGACUUCAGCAUCUCUACGAGCCACGACGGAAACGUGCAGUGACAUCCUACAAGUUCUACGCGAAUCAUCUUUUGUUACUGUUGGUAAUAUGUUUUGUUAGUUAAUCCGUUGGCUGCCACGCCUUUGUUUCCCCCAUGUUAGCUCCUUAGCACGGGCCGCACUGUUUGGUCUCUUGGUCCUAUGUGCCUUGGGAUCGAACAGCUGCACCUGCCCAAGAUUCGCCGAAAGGCCCUGUUAGGCAAUGCACCAUAGGGACUUCCCCCCUUGUCGAUACGGUGAUGGAUUCUAGAGGUUGUGCAUUCCAUCUUCUCCUGUCACCGUGUCA